rnacentral:snRNA from 1 species
CUCAAUUUUCGAUCUUUUGGCUAAGAUCAAGUAUAAUAUUUGUUUUACCAGUUCAAUCAAUAUCUGGUAUGUGAACAAUAUGUUCACUUUGAUAUUAAAUUCACUUAUU